AUGUUCUCUGUAGCUCUGCUGCUUCUGCUGGCUGCUGCAUCUUGUGUGACAUGUGAGCAGCUGACUCAGCCAGCCUAUCUGACUGUGCAACCAGGCCAACCUUUGACCCUCAGCUGCCAGGUCUCUUAUUCUGUCAGCAGCUACUGGACAGCUUUUUUCAGACAUCCUGCAGGGAAAGCACUGGAGUGGAUUGGUGGUUCUGGAGAAGGCUCUAGAUGGAGUACAUCAUACAAAGAUUCACUGCAAAACCAGUUCAGUAUCACCUUUGUUUCUUCCAGCAACACAGCAACUCUGAAUGGACAGAAUAUGCAGCCUGAAGACUCUGCUGUGUAUUACUGUGCCAGAGAGACACAGUGA